rnacentral:rRNA from 1 species
UAGGGAAUCUUCCACAAUGGACGAAAGUCUGAUGGAGCAACGCCGCGUGAGUGAAGAAGGGUCUCGGCUCGUAAAACUCUGUUGUUAAAGAAGAACAUAUCUGAGAGUAACUGUUCAGGUAUUGACGGUAUUUAACCAGAAAGCCACGGCUAACUACGUGCCUG